GCAAUUCCAUAGUGUAGCGGUUAUCACGUCUGCUUUACACGCAGAAGAUCCUGGGUUCAAGCCCCAGUAGAACCA
rnacentral:tRNA from 1 species